rnacentral:rRNA from 1 species
AGAGUUUGAUCCUGGCUCAGGAUGAACGCUGGCGGCGUGCCUAACACAUGCAAGUCGAGCGGGAAGCUCACAAAUGAUUCUUCGGAUGAAUGCGUGAGUGGACAGCGGCGGACGGGUGAGUAACGCGUGGGCAACCUGCCCCUUACUGAAGGAUAGCCGAGGGAAACUUCGAGUAAUACUUCAUAAUGCAUUUUCUUCACAUGGAGGGAAUGCCAAAGAUUUAUCGGUAAGGGAUGGGCCCGCGUCCGAUUAGCUGGUUGGUGAGGUAGCGGCUCACCAAGGCGACGAUCGGUAGCCGGCCUGAGAGGGCGGACGGCCACAUUGGAACUGAGACACGGUCCAGACUCCUACGGGAGGCAGCAGUGGGGGAUAUUGCACAAUGGAGGGAACUCUGAUGCAGCGACGCCGCGUGAAGGAAGAAGGCCUUCGGGUCGUAAACUUCUGUCCUUGGGGAAGAAAGAAAUGACGGUACCCUUGGAGGAAGCCCCGGCUAACUACGUGCCAGCAGCCGCGGUAACACGUAGGGGGCGAGCGUUAUCCGGAAUUACUGGGCGUAAAGAGUGCGUAGGUGGCUUUUUAAGCGCGGGGUCUAAGGCUAUGGCCUAACCAUAGUCCGCCCUGCGAACUGGAGAGCUUGAGUACAGGAGGGGAAAGCGGAAUUCCUAGUGUAGCGGUGAAAUGCGUAGAUAUUAGGAGGAACACCAGUGGCGAAGGCGGCUUUCUGGACUGNAAACUGACACUGAGGCACGAAAGCGUGGGUAGCAAACAGGAUUAGAUACCCUGGUAGUCCACGCCGUAAACGAUGAGCACCAGGUGUCGGACUCGAGAGAGUUCGGUGCCGAAGCUAACGCAUUAAGUGCUCCGCCUGGGGAGUACGCACGCAAGUGUAAAACUCAAAGGAAUUGACGGGGACCCGCACAAGCAGCGGAGCAUGUGGUUUAAUUCGAA